AGUGGGAGCACAGAGCAAUCUGUGUGACUGCGUACCUUUUGUAUAAUGGGUCAGCGACUUAUAUUCUGUAGCAAGGUUAACCGAAUAGGGGAGCCGAAGGGAAACCGAGUCUUAACUGGGCGUUAAGUUGCAGGGUAUAGACCCGAAACCCGGUGAUCUAGCCAUGGGCAGGUUGAAGGUUGGGUAACACUAACUGGAGGACCGAACCGACUAAUGUUGAAAAAUUAGCGGAUGACUUGUGGCUGGGGGUGAAAGGCCAAUCAAACCGGGAGAUAGCUGGUUCUCCCCGAAAGCUAUUUAGGUAGCGCCUCGUGAAUUCAUCUCCGGGGGUAGAGCACUGUUUCGGCAAGGGGGUCAUCCCGACUUACCAACCCGAUGCAAACUGCGAAUACCGGAGAAUGUUAUCACGGGAGACACACGGCGGGUGCUAACGUCCGUCGUGAAGAGGGAAACAACCCAGACCGCCAGCUAAGGUCCCAAAGUCAUGGUUAAGUGGGAAACGAUGUGGGAAGGCCCAGACAGCCAGGAUGUUGGCUUAGAAGCAGCCAUCAUUUAAAGAAAGCGUAAUAGCUCACUGGUCGAGUCGGCCUGCGCGGAAGAUGUAACGGGGCUAAACCAUGCACCGAAGCUGCGGCAGCGACACUGUGUGUUGUUGGGUAGGGGAGCGUUCUGUAAGCCUGUGAAGGUGUGCUGUGAGGCAUGCUGGAGGUAUCAGAAGUGCGAAUGCUGACAUAAGUAACGAUAAAGCGGGUGAAAAGCCCGCUCGCCGGAAGACCAAGGGUUCCUGUCCAACGUUAAUCGGGGCAGGGUGAGUCGACCCCUAAGGCGAGGCCGAAAGGCGUAGUCGAUGGGAAACAGGUUAAUAUUCCUGUACUUGGUGUUACUGCGAAGGGGGGACGGAGAAGGCUAUGUUGGCCGGGCGACGGUUGUCCCGGUUUAAGCGUGUAGGCUGGUUUUCCAGGCAAAUCCGGAAAAUCAAGGCUGAGGCGUGAUGACGAGGCACUACGGUGCUGAAGCAACAAAUGCCCUGCUUCCAGGAAAAGCCUCUAAGCAUCAGGUAACAUCAAAUCGUACCCCAAACCGACACAGGUGGUCAGGUAGAGAAUACCAAGGCGCUUGAGAGAACUCGGGUGAAGGAACUAGGCAAAAUGGUGCCGUAACUUCGGGAGAAGGCACGCUGAUAUGUAGGUGAAGUCCCUCGCGGAUGGAGCUGAAAUCAGUCGAAGAUACCAGCUGGCUGCAACUGUUUAUUAAAAACACAGCACUGUGCAAACACGAAAGUGGACGUAUACGGUGUGACGCCUGCCCGGUGCCGGAAGGUUAAUUGAUGGGGUCAGCGCAAGCGAAGCUCUUGAUCGAAGCCCCGGUAAACGGCGGCCGUAACUAUAACGGUCCUAAGGUAGCGAAAUUCCUUGUCGGGUAAGUUCCGACCUGCACGAAUGGCGUAAUGAUGGCCAGGCUGUCUCCACCCGAGACUCAGUGAAAUUGAACUCGCUGUGAAGAUGCAGUGUACCCGCGGCAAGACGGAAAGACCCCGUGAACCUUUACUAUAGCUUGACACUGAACAUUGAGCCUUGAUGUGUAGGAUAGGUGGGAGGCUUUGAAGUGUGGACGCCAGUCUGCAUGGAGCCGACCUUGAAAUACCACCCUUUAAUGUUUGAUGUUCUAACGUGGACCCGUGAUCCGGGUUGCGGACAGUGUCUGGUGGGUAGUUUGACUGGGGCGGUCUCCUCCUAAAGAGUAACGGAGGAGCACGAAGGUUGGCUAAUCCUGGUCGGACAUCAGGAGGUUAGUGCAAUGGCAUAAGCCAGCUUGACUGCGAGCGUGACGGCGCGAGCAGGUGCGAAAGCAGGUCAUAGUGAUCCGGUGGUUCUGAAUGGAAGGGCCAUCGCUCAACGGAUAAAAGGUACUCCGGGGAUAACAGGCUGAUACCGCCCAAGAGUUCAUAUCGACGGCGGUGUUUGGCACCUCGAUGUCGGCUCAUCACAUCCUGGGGCUGAAGUAGGUCCCAAGGGUAUGGCUGUUCGCCAUUUAAAGUGGUACGCGAGCUGGGUUUAGAACGUCGUGAGACAGUUCGGUCCCUAUCUGCCGUGGGCGCUGGAGAACUGAGGGGGGCUGCUCCUAGUACGAGAGGACCGGAGUGGACGCAUCACUGGUGUUCGGGUUGUCAUGCCAAUGGCACUGCCCGGUAGCUAAAUGCGGAAGAGAUAAGUGCUGAAAGCAUCUAAGCACGAAACUUGCCCCGAGAUGAGUUCUCCCUGACCCUUUAAGGGUCCUGAAGGAACGUUGAAGACGACGACGUUGAUAGGCCGGGUGUGUAAGCGCAGCGAUGCGUUGAGCUAACCGGUACUAAUGAACCGUGAGGCUUAACCUUACAACGCCGAAGGUGUUU
rnacentral:rRNA from 1 species